UGGGGAAUAUUGGACAAUGGGGGAAACCCUGAUCCAGCAAUGCCGCGUGUGUGAAGAAGGUCUUCGGAUUGUAAAGCACUUUUGGCAGGGACGAUGAUGACGGUACCUGCAGAAUAAGCCCCGGCUAACUUCGUGCCAGCAGCCGCGGUAAUACGAAGGGGGCUAGCGUUGCUCGGAAUGACUGGGCGUAAAGGGCGCGUAGGCGGCACACACAGUCAGAAGUGAAAUUCCUGGGCUCAACCUAGGGACUGCUUUUGAUACGUGUGAGCUAGAGUGAGGAAGAGGGUUGUGGAAUUUCCAGUGUAGAGGUGAAAUUCGUAGAUAUUGGAAAGAACACCGGUGGCGAAGGCGGCAACCUGGUCCUUUACUGACGCUGAGGCGCGAAAGCGUGGGGAGCAAA
rnacentral:rRNA from 1 species